GCCCUGUGAGACUAUCGAGUCCCAGCUGUGCCCUGUCACCACCUUGUCCCCAGCCCUGAGCCCUCAGUGCCACCUCCAGCCCUUCCCGGGCCACCUCAGGGACGGGCGCUCCAAACCUCCCUGGGGAUUUUCACCAACCCCAAAACUUCCUGUGGCAGUAAGACAGGACACGGGAAGGGAUAUUUGGAGACCCAGAGGCAUUCAGGGCGUCCUGCCCCCUGUCCCUGGAGGAUUUGGGGCUGUGAAACCGUCCUGGUGUGAGCUGGGCUGGGCCUGGAGGGGCUGAGCCAGGACGGAGCUGCUGUGGCAGCCUGGGUGGCUCUGGUGGAGCAGGAGCUGGAGAAUGCAGCCUUUGAAGCCUCCUCAGAAGUGUGUGGAUUCCCCAGGGAUGGGCUCCUGCAGGCGCUCCCUUCGUCCCAUCCGCUGCCACGCCUUGGAACCAAACCCAAGUUUUUACAGAGCUCACUUUUGUACCCUCUCCCUGCCUGAUCCCAAUGGGGAAUUCAGGCCAGAAUUGCCUUUCAACAGCAGGAGAGCUCCACGUUUCCCCGAGAAAACCUCCAAUCCUGGUGCUAUCAAACCCGGUAAAUUGGAUUUGUCUCCUGGAUGCUAAUGCCAGCAACCCGUGGCAGUUAAUUGCAAGUUUUCCUUGCAGGCUGUAAGUGAUGGAAUCUCGCUACAAAAGCCAUUUCUGAUGGAGGGUGCUCUGUAAAUAUUUAUGUUCUUUCAGUGGAGGAAUGCCUCGCAAUCAGACAAACCACACAAAGGCAAAUGAACUCAUCAAAAGAAACCACAACUGAAAUGCAAACAUUAUAAAAAAAGGGGGGGAAGCCUCUCUUCUGAGAGAGUUCCAAGCCCAGGUGGUGCUGUGGGUUUUCCUCAAGUGAGGAUCUUUUUUUUCUAAUCUGCAGGUGCUUCCAGAUGAUGAGCAGGAUGGGAAAUCUGGCCCAGUCCACCUUAAAUCUCAGGAUUUAAUGGAAUUUCAGCGUUUUGUCAGGCUCAAAGGCUGUAAUUAGUGACCAGGACAUAAUCACCACUCACACUCAAACACUCCAACUUUCACCGGUGCCUUUGGUAAAUUCCAGACCUGCUCUGAGCCAAAUAUUUUGCCUCCUAAUCACAGUUUACACCCUUUAUUCCUAAACAUUUGGUAGCAGCAGGAAAGGAAAGUCUGUGUAUUGUCAGUUAAAGGUUUCUUUAUUUCAGCCUUGUUUUUUUUACACUAUCAGCUAAUCCCCAGCACCAAAACAACGCUGGAACUUUGUCAGGAGUUUGCUGCUGAUAUCCAGAAAUAUAAUUGCAUUUAUUUAUCUCCCACCUCCAAAUUUUAAUGGAUUUAUUUUUCCCCUCACAGAUAACAACAAGGACACAAUGGGCCAUAGACAGGCUGUAAAUGUAAAAUCUCACUUUUCUUCUUUCUUUUGAGCUCCUCUUGGGACAAAUGCAAGCAGCGGGUAGGAGCAGGACUGCAGGAGUGUCACGGGAAGGCUGAUGGGCUGGGGCACUGUGAAGAACUGCAGAAGGUCACAGCAGAAGGCAGCAGGCGAUGGAUUAGUGAGCACCAGGACUCAGCAGGUCUGUUCAGCCUCUGAAAUCCGACUGCCUGAGCUCCCCAGCCCCGGUUUUUCCACCUGUAACCACAUGAAAUAAAAGUGAAUAAUGAUUAUUAUGGCUAGGA